UUGUACCAAAUGACAGGAUGCCUUUGAUGCAACUGAUGAUUGACAAGAGUCACAUCCUGUAGUAAUGUGUAUUUACUGUACCUCUGACCAUGACUAAUGUCUUUGGAAUGUGCUUAGGUGACAAAAGAACAGUAUAAAAUACCAUGUAAUUCUGUGUUCAGGGAAGUGGAGAGUGGAGCCAAG